rnacentral:rRNA from 1 species
UACAGAGGUGGCAAGCGUUGUUCGGAAUUACUGGGCGUAAAGGGCUCGUAGGUGCCAACUAAGUCGGACGUGAAAUCCCUCAGCUUAACUGGGGAACUGCGUCCGAUACUGGAUGGCUUGAGUUUGGGAGAGGGACGCGGAAUUCCAGGUGUAGCGGUGAAAUGCGUAGAUAUCAGGAAGAACACCAAUGGCGAAAGCAGCUUUCUGGGACGGUACUGACGCUGAGACGCGAAAGCGUGGGGAGCAAACAGG